GCACUCUGGAGAAGCCCGCAUUCGCGGGUGCCGAAGGUGAAAGCGCAUUUCGCGUGAAUCUCUCAGGCAAAAGGACAGGGAAG
rnacentral:ncRNA from 1 species